UACGUAGGGGGCAAGCGUUGUCCGGAAUCAUUGGGCGUAAAGAGCGCGUAGGCGGCCCAGUAAGUCCGCUCUGAAAGUCAGGGGCUCAACCCCUGAAUGCGGGUGGAUACUGCUGGGCUAGAGUCCGGAAGAGGCGAGUGGAAUUCCUGGUGUAGCGGUGGAAUGCGCAGAUAUCAGGAGGAACACCAAUGGCGAAGGCAGCUCGCUGGGACGGUACUGACGCUGAGGAGCGAAAGCAUGGGGAGCGAACAGG
rnacentral:rRNA from 1 species